AAAGUUUAAAACUUUAACACUAAAUUAAAUGAAGUAUUCGAGAGUAGUUUUGAGUGAGAGUGAAAAAGAUAUAUGAAAUUGGCACCUGUGGAAAUUAUAUAGGGUAAGCAGUUAAAACUGUAGGUGUUUAAUUGGCUGCAUUAUAUGGUAAAACACUAGAUGGGUACUAAUGUCUUGACUGAUGUCAUGACAUGUAUGUGUGACUACAUUGUAGUUACUGCAGGACUAGCUAACACAAGAUUUAUUGAAUGUCAAAC
rnacentral:lncRNA from 1 species